rnacentral:lncRNA from 9 species
AUGUGUUCCACCACUUCCUGUGAGACUUUGGGGAAAUGGUUCGAACGUUUUAGGGAGCAAGGCAUGAAAUCGGCAUCUGAAUUCAGUUUAAACACCGCUACGCGCCCAAACCACGGAGACAAUGAGCCUGGGUGUGAAUCCUACUGUUUUCUAGGUCUAGAUGUUUCGUCACUUUCCCGACUGGACAGAAGGUCUCUCUGCGGUGACUUGCAGGGCCAUUCGGCCAGUUGCAGUGGGAAAGCAACUCCACUGAUGCCCCUCAUAAAUGGCUUCCCUGCAUCAUGUCAAGAGCCAGACUCUCUCCACCUCCCACCGGGGCCAGCCUUGCUGUUUCAGCCAGAUCCAGGUAGCCAAGUGACGGUUUGCCAGUAUCAGGGGCCACGGGAGCUUCUGCACACUCUCUUCCCCACCUGCCUGGAUCAGCCUGUCCGAGGCGGAGGCACCCCGGAGAAGGGAGCCCACAUUCUCAGCCAAGGCUCUUUCGAAUCAGUUGACAGCAGCCAACCCUCAUACAAGCAGGAAAGCCCUGCCCAGCCCAGGAGAACUGCCCAGCUGGCUGCUGGAUUCCUGAACAGUAACAAGCGCUUAUUAUUUUAA